GUGCUCGCUUCGGCAGCACAUAUACUAAAAUUGGAAUGAUACAGAGAAGAUUAGCAUGGCCCCUGUGCAAGGAUGACAUGCAAAAUCGUCAGGCAUUCCACAUUUUG
rnacentral:snRNA from 1 species